ensembl:lncRNA
GUGACAUGCGUACAUAGGCUACGACUCUUCAGUAUUGCCAGCUCGGGAGGUUUUCAUGACAGCGUGCGUAAAAUGGGUUUAGGCGAGUGGAUUUAUAGAAAUGGUUGAAUAGCAAAAAUAUAAAUUGUGCGGAUUUUUAGAGGAGUCUGCGGGACUGUGGUUGUAUUUUCAAUCAAAUCUUGCAACCCAGCUAUUUCCAAGCGUAAUUUUCAACAUGAAGCGGCAGAAUGUCAGAGCAAACCGUGCGAAGAAGUCGAGAUCACAACGAAGUACGAGCUAUAAUAUCAAGAAAAACGAAAUCCAAUGUAUUUUAAAGACACAAUUAUGCGUUCGGUUUAUUGUCGUCAUAACGGACAAUAUAAAAUAUGUGCGGAGGAUCAACUUGCUUCGCCCCCUAUGUGCGGACAGGCGUCUCCCGGGUCAAAAGGUUGCAAAUAUUGACGUAGGCGAUGGCAGGAAGAUUCAAUAAAAAUGGAUCGGUAUGUGAUCUACCAAAUGGGGGCCAAACAAGACAUCAGUCAGUUCUGUCAACAUCUACCUCCAGUGAGAUAACGGUCACCUCACCUCCGGCCUCCCCUGAGCAGGAAGAUGCACCAGAGGAAGAUCAGUCACCCUUUCUGAGUGCUGAUACUGAUAAUUUUCCGUCAAAACCCACCUCCAUCGGGAUAGCAGACACGCCACCUCAAGCGAGAAAACCCAAAGGCUGUGGAACAUGUUUUCAGAGGAUAAAAACACACAGAGUUAUUGUGGGAGUGGUGGUUCUAAUUGGAGUUUUAAUUGGAGUUUUAAUUAGAAACUUUUACUACUCGGUUCCAACUACCAACCCACACUUGAAUGAAGGAACCAAUGUUACUACACCAAACCCCCUGACAUCAGGCAAUUACAGCCUUCAGACAACGGUCAAAACGGAUGAAAACAACACACAAAAUCCUUACUAUUUCUCACCUGAGAAAAAAUCCUGGAACGACAGCAGACUGGACUGUCUUCAGAGGGGAGGACAGCUGGUGGCAAUCAGCAGCAUGCCAGAACUUGUGAGAAAUCAUUUUACUGGCUUUGCUUUCACAAUGUAAAUAUUUGUUCUGUACCAAAAACUCAUUUUAAAUCAAUUGAAAGACCAAGGGGGAGAGAAAGUCAAGAUAGAGUUUCCUUUAUAAUUCGAGAAACUGUUUCCUUCUGUCACUUUAGAAUUCAAUUAUUCAGAUGGGCAAAUGGAUGAAGAUCGACCAAAUGUGGGUCCAGUCUGAAGAUCGCUGUGCCAAAUUGGAUUUUGAUGAUAAAUGUCUAAAAAAGAAUCUUACAGUUGAAGAAUGUAAUACAAGGAAAGCGUUUGUAUGUAAAAAUGUCAUGAACAGGACUUAAAAAUAUCCUGUAUUUCAUCCGGCCCCCUCCGCCGACUGUCCCGGCCUCCGGCCCCCUCCGCCGACUGUCCCGGCCUCCGGCCCCCUCCGCCGACUGUCCCGGCCUCCGGCCCCCUCCGCCGACUGUCCCGGCCUCCGGCCCCCUCCGCCGACUGUCCCGGCCUCCGGCCCCCUCCGCCGACUGUCCCGGCCUCCGGCCCCCUCCGCCGACUGUCCCGGCCUCCGGCCCCCUCCGCCGACUGUCCCGGCCUCCGGCCCCCUCCGCCGACUGUCCCGGCCUCCGGCCCCCUCCGCCGACUGUCCCGGCCUCCGGCCCCCUCCGCCGACUGUCCCGGCCUCCGGCCCCCUCCGCCGACUGUCCCGGCCUCCGGCCCCCUCCGCCGACUGUCCCGGCCUCCGGCCCUCCGCCGACUGUCCCGGCCUCCGGCCCUCCGGCGGCUCUCCCGGCACCUGAUCCUCUGUAGAUUAGUCAUUGUUUUCCGUUCGUGUUUGGUUUGUUUGUUGUUUAUUAAAACCCACGAACAGAUAUCUGCCUGCGCCUGGUUCCUUCAACACCACACCACGACGAAGUGUUACAACAAGCUGUACACUCUCUACUUUACAUUGUAGCAAAGUGUCAUUUCCUCAGUGUUGUCACAUGAAAAGAUAUACCCAAAUAUUUGCAAAAAUGUGAGGGGUGUACUCAUGUCUGUGAGAUACUGUAUAUUGUACAUUCACUAUUCAAAUGUUGAUAGUGUGUUACCACAUUUUUACUACUUCCCUCAUCUACCCCAGAUCCAUUGACAUUAUCAGAGAGUUUUAUUGCCAAGUAACUUUCACAACAAACAAGGAAUUUGUUCUAUUAAUAAAGUUAAAUAUGUAAUGUGCAAGAUUUGUCCAGUUGGUUGGGUGUGCAAGUUUAUAUAUCAAAUGUACCGAAUAACACAGUGCCAUCCUGCACGAUGAAAUUCUUGUGACAUGGCACCCGACAAAUUAUGAAGAAUAUAAUAAAGCAAAAUUAUAGCAAAAAAAUCUAAUAUAGCAAUAAUAUACAUAAUUGAAAGAGUAAUGUAAACUAGCAGCAGUAUGGGUAGUAUUAUUGAACAUUAUAGAUAUAACAAGUAUGGCAAUAAUAUACAUAACAAUGUAAACUAGCAGCAAUUUAGAAGGAGUAGGAUGAGGAAAAUGCACAAUAUGGGUAGAAGUAUUGAAUAUUAUAGAUAAAUUAGUGUAAUAUGCUUAUGAAUGGGAAUAUUGUAGUGUACAUUGAAAGUGCCUGAAAAGACAUCAGAACAUCUGGAAUGUUCAUGUGUGAUCAGUGUGAUCAUGGAUCAGUGUUGCUGGUUGAGGAGCCUCAUGGCCUGAGGGAACAAUGCUGUACUAUGCUUUGGGAUGCACGAAUCUUCUCGCAUACUAAACUGGCCAGUGGCGUUUUUAUAUGUAAAAUAUUGGUGGGGCACAAACCAUUUCAAAAUAUAGGAUUACAUAGCAGUAAAGCUACAAAACUCCCUCUUGCUAUUUAACACAUCAACAAACAGCGUGGCUUCACAAAACACUUUUAACGACAAAGCGGCUUGCUUCUACCAGGUGUUGUAGUACACAUACACUACUGUUGUUUGCUCCUUGGGGUUUAAGGCCGGGUGUCUCUGUAAAGCACUUUGUGACAACUGCUGUUGUAAAAAGGGCUUUAUAAAUAAAUUUGAUAAAUAAAUUUGACAUACUGGAGAGAGAGAGAGACCUUCUUGUGAGAGACCUUCUCUCUCACACACAUGUAAAUUACCCCUGUCACAUUUACAAACCUAAAAUGUACCAAUGUGUUGAGUCACAGCUGUCCCAUGGUAUUGCGAGUGAAGGUUUUUACCUUUUUCAAGUUGGAAAAGUUCCUCUCUGACUCGGAUGUCGUCAUAGGUGUUGUUAUGAUAAUUUUCAGCAGAGUGACGGUCUCAACAAAAGCCUCCUAGGUUGUUCUUGUUGGAUACAAUUUUAAUAUUGUAUGCAUUUAUUAAUAUUACUACAGAAUUGUGCUAACAUGACUAACCUUUGAUUAACCUCUGUGAGGAGCUUAAUGUCACCCAUACAUAAGGCUUGUGCAAGAACUGACAUUUACUAAAUGCUGAUGUUGUUUCCUAUUAUUCGCUGGCUUUAAGCAAAAAUGUUACUAAGAGUAGAAAUGACCAGACGAACUGUCUGAUGUACUGUCUGAUGUACUGUCUGAUGUACUGUCUGAUGUACUGUCUGAUGUACUGUCUGAUGUACUGUCUGAUGUACUGUCUGAUUUACUGUCUGAUGUACUGUCUAGAAUAAUAGAGCUGUGGUUAAGGGUGAUAAAAUUACAUACUAUACUGUUUCAUUCACGUGUUUCCUGUUUUCGAUGUAUGUUGUCGAGUAGAAAAGGGUCAGACAGGGCAACAUUAAAACAGUCUAAGCACUACGAAGGGAGAGAAAUAGGACAGGGUGUGACAAGGAAGUAUUCAGAUUUGUCUACUGACAAGUAUAAAAUGUAUGUGUUUUUCCAAUUGUAUCAGAGCUCUCAGAUUAAAUGCUUAAGACCAGUUUGCUGUUUCCAGUGUGUUCUUUUGAUUUACAACUAAUACGUCCGAGCCUUUCAACCUCUGACUAGUGAUUUUGAGCCUGACAGUUCUCAUGGAUGGAUCUUAACAGAGGCGUCUUACGGCAGAGUCCAGCUCUGAUGUAGAAUGACAGGACAAAUUGUGCGAAGAGCGAGCUGUCAACCAGCUUGGCAAGCCCAUUCAUCAGUUUCCGCAUAUUCUGGACAUUCUCCUUGAAACGGGUGAGCGCACUGCUAAUCCCAGAUGCAUUGAUGCUCCGUUUUUGCAGAGUGUUGUAUAAAACAUCAACUUCUGACAUAAGGAGGAUUAUUUUUUUGACAGGCCGUAUGCCUCACUUAUGAUGGCCUCAUCCCAUCCUGGUUGUGUGCGUAUGUCCUCCAACCUCUCUGUCACUGUAUUGUCAGGCAACAUGUUUCGCAACACCACCACCAUUUGUGAUAUACAGGAGCCAUCAGUUGUCUCAUCUGCCUGU